UAGGCACCUAAGAAACAUGUUUUUGUUA
rnacentral:piRNA from 1 species